UAUGGAGAAUGUAUGUAUUGU
ensembl:piRNA 21ur-7347 ncRNA